CAAUAGCGUAUAUUAAAGUUGUUGCAGUUAAAAAGCUCGUAGUUGGAUUUCUGGUUGAAGCGACCGGUCGGGCGUUGAUUCGUCUGCACUGGAGUCGGUUUUGGCCAUCCUCUAGGAAAGUGCGUCUGGUAUUAAGUUAUCGGGCGUAUGAUCCUGGUCUUUUACUGUGAAAAAAUUAGAGUGUUUAAAGCAGGCCUUCGCCUUGAAUACAUUAGCAUGGAAUAAUAAGAUAGGACUUUGGUCUAUUUUGUUGGUUUGCAGACCGAAGUAAUGAUUAAUAGGGAUAGUUGGGGGUAUUUAUAUUCCGAUGUCAGAGUUGAAAUUCUUAGAUUUUCGGAAGAUAAACUUAUGCGAAAGCAUUUACCAAGGAUGUUUUCAUUAA
rnacentral:rRNA from 1 species